rnacentral:rRNA from 1 species
AGUGAACGCUGGCGGCAGGCCUAACACAUGCAAGUCGAACGGCAGCACAGAGGAGCUUGCUCCUUGGGUGGCGAGUGGCGGACGGGUGAGGAAUGCGUCGGAAUCUGCCUAUGUGUGGGGGAUAACGUAGGGAAACUUACGCUAAUACCGCAUACGAGCUACGGGUGAAAGUGGGGGACCGAAAGGCUUCAUGGAGAUAGAAGAGCCGACGCCGGAUUAGCUAGUUGGAGGGGUAAAGGCCCCCCAAGGCGACGAUCCUUAGCUGGUUUGAGAGGAUGAUCAGCCACACUGGGACUGGGACACGGCCCAGACUCCUACGGGAGGAAGCAGUGGGGAAUAUUGGACAAUGGGCGCAAGCCCGAUCCAGCCAUGCCGCGUGUGUGAAGAAGGCCUUCGGGUUGUAAAGCACUUUUGUCCGGAAAGAAAUCCAAUCGCUUAAUACUCGGUUGGGAUGACGGUACCGGAAGAAUAAGCACCGGCUAACUUCGUGCCAGCCGCCGCGGUAAUAC